AUUGAACGCUGGCGGCAGGCCUAACACAUGCAAGUCGAGCGGAUGAAGGGAGCUUGCUCCUGGAUUCAGCGGCGGACGGGUGAGUAAUGCCUAGGAAUCUGCCUGGUAGUGGGGGAUAACGCCCGGAAACGGGCGCUAAUACCGCAUACGUCCUGAGGGAGAAAGUGGGGGAUCUUCGGACCUCACGCUAUCAGAUGAGCUAGGUCGGAUUAGCUAGUUGGUGGGGUAAAGGCCUACCAAGGCGACGAUCCGUAACUGGUCUGAGAGGAUGAUCAGUCACACUGGAACUGAGACACGGUCCAGACUCCUACGGGAGGCAGCAGUGGGGAAUAUUGGACAAUGGGCGAAAGCCUGAUCCAGCCAUGCCGCGUGUGUGAAGAAGGUCUUCGGAUUGUAAAGCACUUUAAGUUGGGAGGAAGGGCAGUAAGUUAAUACCUUGCUGUUUUGACGUUACCAACAGAAUAAGCACCGGCUAACUUCGUG
rnacentral:rRNA from 1 species